AAGACUAUACUUUCAGGGAUCAUUUCUAUAGUUCGUUACCAGAGAAGCUUCUGUGAUUGUGUAGAGCACCAGAAACCACGAGGAGGAGGUGCAGCGUCUACUCCUGAGAGUGAAGUGCAGGUAUUGCUUCACUGCAACUGCCAUUUGCCAUUGAUGAUCGUUCUUGCUUUCCUUUGGGGGAGCAGGAGGGAGAGGAUGCAGUCUGAGUGGUU
ensembl:snoRNA